ACUGUAGAAAGAAAACUAAUUAUUGCAGGUAGUAUUUCCAAUGGAACAGACCAGAAAGAACAAAUAUAUCAUGGGCAGUCAGUAGAAACAUGAAUCAGAAAUUUGAGAUGCAACAAGAUAUUUCGAACUUGAAAGAAAUCAGAGGAUUACUGUAUUAUAUUGACAUGUAUUAUGUUUAGGUUAGAAUAAUGGGAUUAGAAGACCCCCCAAAAAAAAAAAAAGCAUCAAAUUGCUGUAAUCAUCGAUGGUCAACAUUGAGUACACUAUAGCAAUCCUAAAUUGUGAGUUUUGAAUUCUCUACAAGCUGAUAGCUAUAUAUACAUGGCAUUCAAGAAACAAACAUGUUCAUAAGCAUAUAAGAACACUGUUUUGUAAUGAUACUAUCCUAACAGUUUUCUGGGCGAAGUAGAAAGCAGAGUAUUGAGCUAUGAAGCAACUAACUGGUUCAACAGUUAUUGGAAACAAGAGAAAACUAUCAUCACAUAACAAAGAAAAUUGUUCUUCUACAUUGAAGAAUAUUUCAUCAAGUCCGUUAAUUGUAUAUGGUGUAUUCCAAGGCUCGCUAUCGACUCCUUUGAGUGUGUUGACUUAUGAUCAAAAUGUUGUACAGUCUACUAUUACCAACACAAAUGGGUCAUCAUCAUUAAUACAUGCAUAUGAUACGCAAAUAAGGACGGUCAAUUGUAUGUUGCUGCUUCAAGAGUUAGCAAUCCAAAUGGUUUAAAAGUUUUAAUCUGUAGUG